GUAUUCAUCACCCCACAAGGCUGUGAUGGUGUGGCAUGAUGGUGAGAGAGGGCCUGGUUGAAGAUUUCCCUCCUCUCAAAGAACUUACAACCUGUUGAGUUAGCAUUUCAGUGGUGAAUACAGAAGACAAAACCAGUGUAGAACAAGUAACAUAGAAAGAGAAGAAGAGACAGUACUAGAUACAGAACAGACAACAGGAGGAGAAAACUCAGACUUUGGCAAAAGCCACAUUACCCAAUGGGGCUGCAGGGAAUGUCAGCGAGGGGCAGGUGGGAUCGGCAGUCUGACCCCGCAGACAUGUAUUGUGCUCCUGCUGUGUGCCAAGAGAGGAGGUGUGCAAGUGUGCCAGCGGGAGGUGGAAAGGCUCACCAUCGAGGAGCCCUGGCCUGGAGGAGAGAUGGGAUUUCAGCCCACGGAGGCGAAAUGCUGACGUGCUGCGAGGAGUGUUGGUCUUGGAGAGAGAAGAUGGACUCUGAAGAACAUUCCAGUAAUGCCGUGGCAGCAUGGAGAGCCUCUGAGUGGUUGUGUCUGCAGUACUGUUGUGGAAGAUUGACCUUUGCUGUUGUAUGUAAAGUAUAA
rnacentral:lncRNA from 1 species